UAGGGAAUCUUCGGCAAUGGGGGCAACCCUGACCGAGCAACGCCGCGUGAGUGAAGAAGGUUUUCGGAUCGUAAAGCUCUGUUGUAAGUCAAGAACGGGUGUGAGAGUGGAAAGUUCACACUGUGACGGUAGCUUACCAGAAAGGGACGGCUAACUACGUGCCAGCAGCCGGGGUAAUACGUAGGUCCCGAGCGUUGUCCGGAUUUAUUGGGCGUAAAGCGAGCGCAGGCGGUUUGAUAAGUCUGAAGUUAAAGGCUGUGGCUCAACCAUAGUUCGCUUUUGAAACUGUCAAACUUGAGUGCAGAAGGGGAGAGUGGAAUUCCAUGUGUAGCGGUGAAAUGCGUAGAUAUAUGGAGGAACACCGGUGGCGAAAGCGGCUCUCUGGUCUGUAACUGACGCUGAGGCUCGAAAGCGUGGGGAGCGAACAGG
rnacentral:rRNA from 1 species